UACAGAGGUCUCAAGCGUUGUUCGGAUUCAUUGGGCGUAAAGGGUGCGUAGGCGGCGCGGUAAGUCGGGUGUGAAAUCUUGGAGCUUAACUCCGAAACUGCAUUCGAUACUGCCGUGCUUGAGGACUGGAGAGGAGACUGGAAUUUACGGUGUAGCGGUGAAAUGCGUAGAUAUCGUAAGGAAGACCAGUGGCGAAGGCGGGUCUCUGGACAGUUCCUGACGUGAGCACGAAGGCCAGGGGAGCAAACGG
rnacentral:rRNA from 1 species